ensembl:lncRNA
UGGUGCUUUCUUCUGGUAACCCUUCCAAAGAGCCUGUGGUUGUGGAGGUGGAGUCUGAUGGUGCUUUCUUCUGCAACCCUUCCAAAGAGCCUGUGGUUGUGGAGGUGGCGUCUGAUGGUGCUUUCUUCUGGUAACCCUUCCAAAGAGCCUGUGGUUGUGGAGGUGGCGUCUGAUGGUGCUUUCUUCUGGUAACCCUUCCAAAGAGCCUGUGGUUGUGGAGGUGGAGUCUGACGGUGCUUUUUGAAACCUGGUGACCCCAAGAUGCCACCAAGGCCUGCACUUCUUUGACCGUUAUUAUUGGGGAUUUGUUUGCUUCUCUCCCCAUCCUCCUCCAUAUCCCCAGGGGGGGAAAAAUGCAUUUGCAUCCUCUAACCGUGAGGUUUAACUGUUCCAUAUCUUUAGAGGUUGUUUUAUAAUUGCCCUGACAGUGCUCAGUGAUAUAUGAAGGUCUUUGACCAGCUGUCUCUUUUGAACUGACAGUUAUUUUGUUGACAGCGGGAUAUUGCAUGCGUGUUUCCUCAUGUUUAUACCCUAGUGAAACAGGAAGUGAUGUAAUGGCUCAAUAUAGUUAUUUAAGACUUAGGUACGCGUAAAUAAGUGGAAUUUACUUCCUGGUUGAAUUUUGGUAGAUGUUACAAUAAUCUUUAAGGGUGCCAUUAAUUGUGGAACCUUGAUUUGGAGGGCAUUGAUUUUUAUUUAAAUCAAAUUGAUUUUGGUGGGUUCCAUUGAAACAUUAAUAAAGUCCAGUAUUUCUCACAUGUUGG